CGCCUUUUGAGAAAGAUAAGAGGUCUGACCUGCCCACUGAAAAUUUAAAGGGCCGCAGUAUUUUGACUGUGCAAAGGUAGCAUAAUCAUUAGUCUUCUAAUUAAAGGCUGGAAUGAAUGGUUGGACGAGGUAUUAGCUGUCUCACUAAAAUUUUAUUAGAAUUUACCUUUUUAGUCAAAAGGCUAAAAUAAUGGUGGAGGACGAGAAGACCCUAUAGAGCUUUAUGGCUAAUUUUCUUAAUUUGUUUGGGAAAAUUCUAAUUUUGAGGGGCUGCCAUUUCGUUGGGGUGACGAGAAGAUGAAUUAAACUCUUUUUAUUGUAAACAUAGAUGAAUGAAUAGUUGAUCCAUAAUUAGUGAUUAUAAGACUAAGUUACCUUAGGGAUAACAGCGUAAUCUUUUUUAAGAGUUCUAAUCGACAAAAAGGGUUGCGACCUCGAUGUUGGACUAAGGGUUAUUUUUGGGUGUAGCAGUUCAAAGUUUAGGUCUGUUCGACCUUUGAAUCCUUACAU
rnacentral:rRNA from 1 species